AUUGAACGCUGGCGGCAUGCCUUACACAUGCAAGUCGAACGGUAACGCGGGGCAACCUGGCGACGAGUGGCGAACGGGUGAGUAAUGCAUCGGAACGUGCCCAGUAGUGGGGGAUAGCCCGGCGAAAGCCGGAUUAAUACCGCAUACGACCUACGGGUGAAAGCGGGGGACCGUAAGGCCUCGCGCUGUUGGAGCGGCCGAUGUCAGAUUAGGUAGUUGGUGGGGUAAAGGCCUACCAAGCCUUCGAUCUGUAGCUGGUCUGAGAGGACGACCAGCCACACUGGGACUGAGACACGGCCCAGACUCCUACGGGAGGCAGCAGUGGGGAAUUUUGGACAAUGGGCGCAAGCCUGAUCCAGCCAUGCCGCGUGCGGGAAGAAGGCC
rnacentral:rRNA from 1 species